AGGGGCGUCGCCAAGCGGUAAGGCAGCAGGUUUUGAUCCUGCCAUGCGUUGGUUCGAAUCCAGCCGCCCCUGCCA
rnacentral:tRNA from 1892 species